rnacentral:sRNA from 1 species
CUAUAACUCUGGGAACCGGGG